GAGGAUCCGCUAAGUAGGCUACUUGGACGGGAACAUGGAGGGACGUACUAUUUCUAAUAUUAUAGGUUAAGGAAGGAUUAUUUCAUGGUGGGCUUGAGCACUAAGUGUUUAAUACUUGUGGUUAAAUAUUGGUUACAUAUUGAUUAAAGGACGCACAAAGGCUAAGGGAGCACUAAAUAGUCAAACGGACGUGUCCACCACUCAAAGUUUAGGGGUGGUUUGCGAUUAUGGAGGGGUGGGCUUGAGCCCUAGUAUCCGUGGCGCGAGUGAUGUUGGUGGAUCCCAUAUUCAUUAUCCACCUAUAGAGGAGCAUGCUGAAUGUGAAUUGUUAUUCUCGGGCCCUUCUACGAAAGAAAAAGUAGUCGGUCCACGGCUUGUGUAUCCUACUAUGGAUAGGUUAUUAGAUGAGGUUCAAAGGGAGGACGACUAUGUGAAAGUCAAAGUAGAUAUUAUCAAUCAAAAAUUCGAGAGCAGUCCUCUCCUUCCAGUUUCAUGUUAUGGCGAGGUUACAGAUUUAGGUGAUGCUCAUGGUAAAUAUGUUCAAUGGCCACGUUUUGCCAUAAAGCUUUUGAACACAGAGACAACUCCCCAAAACCAAGACUGACAAAAAA
rnacentral:lncRNA from 1 species